AACACUUUGAAAUGAUUGAGCGCCAAUUCUCCAUUAUCAGACACGACGAAGUUAUUGAAGAUCUUAAUCAAGCCUGGAGAAAACGAGGACGUCCGAAGUGAUCGCAUUCUCUCUUAUGAAGUUACCUUUAAUCUGAGUAGAAGACGAGGACGGCGACGGAUUUGCCGGAGAUUUUGGUUUGUCCGACACCGGAGAGCGCCUGCCGGCGAAUUCUGUGGGAGCUUACCGAAGCGGAGGAGAGCGGAGGAGGAGGUUAAGAGAGGAAAGAAGACGGAGGUCCGUUGAUGUGUAGUAGGUGCUCGAGGAUUGGAGUGGACGGCGGCGCUUCGUCGUCUUCACCGGCGGAGAUUGUAGGGCCAGAUCGACGAACUCGAAUCUGAGUUUGAGGCCGAGUUAGAACAUUUGCAGCUCCCCUUGGAUGUUGAAAGUUCAUCAGGACGCAUAGAGAAGCUAAGAAUUAAGAGAUAUGGUGGAUAUGCCGAAAGCAGGG